rnacentral:rRNA from 1 species
UACGUAGGGUGCGAGCGUUGAUCGGAAUUACUGGGCGUAAAGCGUGCGUAGGCGGUUGGCAAAGGCAGCUGUGAAAGCCCCGGGCUUAACCUGGGAACUGCCUUUGUGACUGCAAGGCUUGAGUGCGGCAGAGGGGGAUGGAAUUCCGCGUGUAGCAGUGAAAUGCGUAGAUAUGCGGAGGAACACCGAUGGCGAAGGCAAUCCCCUGGGCCUGCACUGACGCUCAUGCACGAAAGCGUGGGGAGCAAACAGG